ensembl:lncRNA
GGGCCUUGCUCACCAACGCUUGGUCUCCCCAUGUCAUUCUUCCCUUUAACUUCCAGCUGAGUCUCCAUCUGGAGCGCGGAACCCACCACGCUUACUAAUUAUGCCUGGGAUUCUAAGACCCACUCGAGAAGGUGUCUAGCGCGAGGCACCUUCCGCUAUUCGAGAGGGCGCCUGCGGCCUACUAACAGGCUGUACAUCUAAAACAAUGACCUCCAAACUAUCAGUGAAAAAUUCAGCCUGAAAAGAAAACAAAAACCAGAGGAGUUUAAUGCAUCAGAGCUCAAGGCCAAGGCCAGUCCCGCGGAAGAGGUGGCUCGUGGUCUCAAGCAGCCAUAGACGUUGCAAGAGAGGGGGUGCUCCCCGUGGGCGAGUAGGUCUCAGGGGCUGCCUCGUCACAGACCUUCACCUUCCUGACUGCAGUGGUUUCCAGGCAGAAGGCAGGUAUGGAGGUCAACCUCAGCCCUGCCCAAAGAAGGGGAGACGUGGGUGCAGGCUGGGCCCCCGGGGGCAACAUCCACUCUGGGCCCCGCUCCUAACCCAGCAAAGGGGCAAGUCACCGCCGUUUCCAACCUGAUGACCGGCUCAGAGUGACCGCAUUCCUCCCCGCACGCCCAGCCAGGGCUCGUGUCCACCUGGGGCUCAGUCCACACUCAGGAGGACAGGGAAGACAGUGAUGGGGAGACUGAAGUGACAGGGGCCGAGCGGCCUGACACCCCGGCUCACAGUGUCGAGAGGGCAGGAACCGCGUCUCGGCCCACCUGUGGCCUCCACAGCCUGAGGCAGGAUGCUGUGCAGGACUUAGAACACCUGAGCCCCGAGAAGCUGGUGACGGCGCGCAGGGCCCGAUGGCCACGGCGGGCUGCUCGUUUCCUGCAGGAGGAACUUACCUUAUUUUGGAGGAGCUGCUUUUAUUCUCAGAGGGAGGAAAAGGAACGUUCCGGGACCCUGGAAGCAAGAGGCAUCAUGUUCGGAUCCUCUGAAAUUAUUUAAGAUGUGAUAAUAUGAGCAUCUUGUUUUCAAAAAUAUUCCCUGGUACUUAUGCCUGGAAUUCCCUGCCAGCGUCCUCAAGGUCCCUGUUCAUUCGUUUCCCCUUCGGGGAUGUGACUGGAAUACAGAUCAUAGUUUAGACAGUCUGUGAAUAUGCAAGGUAAUUUUCUGUUCUUUGCCACCCGGCACUGCUGAGACACACAGCCUUCCGGCUUUCAGGUGGAGUCCGCCCCAGGACGGUCUCUCUCCGUUGCCGGGGCCGCAGAUGCGAAGGGCUGGGGUCCUCCUGUUUCCAGGCCGCAGGCUCUGGGGCAGGGCGGCUCCUCCUUACCUCCGGGGUCAGCCGUCCGUGUCUGUUCCCAAGUGACCCCUCCUCAGCCCUUGUCCUGCCCGGGGUUGGGAAGCUUGGCCCCUCUGAGAACCUGCCCCCUCGGUUCCUGGUUUCUCCCUAUGCGGGGCCUCCCAGGGUUUGUCCACCAGGUCCUGCUCGCGCUGCUGAGACCAGGCGUACCCUCUGCUCUGGUUAGCGGCCUCCACGACCCUCAGGGAUCCUGUCCCUGCCGGAAUCCCGCAGGGUCCAUGGGCCGGACCUCCCAGGAGGGUGAGCCUUCGGGGUCACGCUUGGAGUUAGCACUAGCCGCCCACCCCUCCAUCACAGAGGAGCGGAGAGGCCCGGGUCUGGGGGUCUCGGCAGGGCCUUGGCCAACUCUCCCAGGAGGCUUCUCGCCCCGUGGCCUGCGUGGGGAACCCUGGGAACCUGUCCGCAGCGUCCGGAGCAUCGGCCGAACUUCGCGUCCCAGGCCUGCCCGGGGAACCCUGGGUGUGGGCAGGACGGGGACUUCACGAGGCCCCUCAGCGAGGAGCUGACCCAGGGCGGCGGGCAGUCGCUGCAUGGCCCGCCUCGAGAGUCACUGGAGGACCCCUCAGGACGGGCCCUCGGGGUCUGAUAAACAGUGAAUUUGAAGGCCCACAUUCCUAUCGAGAAUAUUCGCAUCGCUCUAAGGCCUGGAGCUUUCCUGCCUCCUUCAAUUUCUCCAGCUCCAGCCUGGAUCUGAGGCUUCCAGAAACAGCACAUUGGCAGACCUGUGGAUGUCGAAGCAAACAUUAGGAUGACAACCAAACAAACUUAUUCCUGUUGCUUUAGGAAUGGACCAAAAAUAUAUCGGAAGCAAUUAUUGGCAGAAUAUAACCUGAAUUAUCUGAAACAGCAAUCUGCAGAUCCAGAAAGCACAGCAAACCCUGAACAGGAGAAUCAAAAGGAAAGCCACCCGAGGCCCCUGGAACAAGUUGCUGAAAACCAAAGAUAAAAAAGCAGCCAGAUGCAGAAAGAGAUUUAUUCCAUGUCGGGAGCAAGGAUAAAACUCACAGAGGAUAUUUUGUCACAAAAAUAAUGAUUGGCGGCAAGAAAAUGAAGCUGAAUAAAAAGUCUGUCAAAUAGGAAUGCAUCUAGCAAAAUCAUCUUUCAAACGUUAAGGAUAAAUAAAGACACUUUAAGGGGAAUUAAAGCUGAAUGAACGUGUUCCCAGCUGAUCUGCACCCUGAGGAAUGAUGAAGGAAGUUCUUCAGGCUGAAGAGGGAUUUUAUCAGAAAGAAACGUGGUGUCCAGAAGUAAUAACAAACACUGGGAAGAGUAAAGAUGAAGAUGGAUAAAAGCAGGGUUUCCCUUUCUUCUGCCACGUUCUUCACAAGUUGACUCUUUAAGACAACAAAACACAAAACACGGUGAGAUUACCACACGAAAUGUAAGCGGAAGGGAGUAGCAGACAAGACAGGAGAGGCUGAGGGUGGCUUUAUGUCAUGAAGGUCUUCAUAUGACAGAGACGGAUGAGACUGGGUCAGAGUAAACCAUAAAAAGAUAAAGAUAAAAAUGGUGAUUUUGAGGGAAACCUCUGAAAGAUAAAUAAUAGACACAAAAAUCAACGGAGGAACAGAUUGGAUCAUGAAAAUUCACCCGUUCAAGCCAAAAUAGAAUAUAGCAAAAGAAAAAAUAGGGACCCAAAGGGGAUAAAUUGGGAAAGACUCGUAAGAUGGUACACCGAAAGCCAGCCCAGAGGGCGCUCAUGGGAAGAGGUCAGACGUCCAGGCUGUGCCCCAGCUGGGCCCAGGGCCGGGCUUGUCUCCAUCGCCAGGCGGUGGGCCAUUCUCACCGCUUGGAGACUUCAGCUGUUUCCAGCUUCUCUGUAAGCAGUAACGCUGCCCUGAAAGCUCUGUGUUUCUUUCUGCGGUCGUGCUGCGGUUCCUAAGGUACAUUUCUGAGCACACCUCUUUAUCCACACAUAUAGACAUGUGACACUGAAACGUUCUCUUCCCCUUAUGGAUAAGCCAUCAGCUCCCAGUCAGUUCACGUCUGUGGCUGAACCCUAGAAACAGUCUUUGAAGAAAUUACAAAUACAUUUUGAAACUUGAAAUAUAUUGUUGACUUCUUUUCUCUCUUAUAAUCUAUGUGUUGGAGACACUGAGACGUUGGUCUUCCAGAAGCCCCACCAGCUGGUGCUGACGACUGCAUCCCUGAUGUGUAACUUUGAAAGUAUUUUCAUCAGCUCCCAGUAUUUUCUGUAAAUUGAUCCUUAGAUCAAGAUGCUUCACCAACUUCAUGGUGUUGAUCCACGUUUUUGGUGAGGCUGUUCCCCUGGUGACACUGUGCCCCAUGACCAAGACGUAUCUAGGGUCUGGUCACCGCUUUCUCUCUCUCUCCCUCACUAACUGGCGUUAACCGUCACCACCCAGGCUCAUUAAUGUAUUAAGGGUAGCAAAGUCAUGAUAUUUUAACAUUACCAUUCUUUUCUUACUUAUUAGCUGAAAUAUUUCUACACAGAGAAACCUCCCUUUAUUUGGUUACUCUGAGGUGCAGUUUUUUUAUGAAAGGCUGGAUCAAUGCUUUAUUCUUUCUCUUUCUUUCCAUUUUCAAAAUUACGAGUUGUAUGUAUAGUAUUUCCCAAGAGUGAUCACAGAUUCCUUUGAUUUUCUUGUUGAGAACCAUCAAUAAUUCAUGGAAUUUUAUGUAAUAAUAGGUGCUUCCAUCCCUAACAGGUAUCUUUUCUGAUGCUAAAACUGUCCGGUCCUUUUCCAGGAGAAGCCUGUUGUGUUGUAUCCUGAGUGUUUUCAAGAAAGUUCAAUAAGUGAGAGCAUUUUACAGACAGGUGCACGUUCCCAGGUGCAGAAAACGUUUGCAAACUGCACGGG